GUAGUUUGAUCCUGGCUCAGUAUUGAACGCUGGCGGAAUGCUUUACACAUGCAAGUCGAACGGCAGCACGGGGCAACCUGGUGGCGAGUGGCGAACGGGUGAGUAAUACAUCGGAACGUGCCCAAUCGUGGGGAUAACGUAGCGAAAGUUACGCUAAUACCGCAUACGAUCUACGGAUGAAAGCGGGGGAUCGCAAGACCUCGCGCGAAUGGAGCGGCCGAUGUCAGAUUAGGUAGUUGGUGGGGUAAAGGCUCACCAAGCCAACGAUCUGUAGCUGGUCUGAGAGGACGACCAGCCACACUGGAACUGAGACACGGUCCAGACUCCUACGGGAGGCAACAGUGGGGAAUUUUGGACAAUGGGCGCAAGCCUGAUCCAGCCAUUCCGCGUGCAGGAUGAAGGCCUUCGGUUGUAAACUGCUUUUGUACGGAACGAAAAGGUCCUGGUUAAUACCUGGGGCUCAUGACGGUACCGUAAGAAUAAGCACCGGCUAACUACGUG
rnacentral:rRNA from 1 species